AUAACGGAGAGUUUGAUCCUGGCUCAGAAUGAACGCUGGCGGCGUGCUUAACACAUGCAAGUCGUACGAGAAAUCACGCCUUCGGGUGUGAGAGUAAAGUGGCGCACGGGUGAGUAACGCGUGGGUAACCUACCCUCAGGUCUGGGAUAACAGUUCCAAAGGACUGCUAAUACCGGAUGAGACCACGGAGAUUUCGGUCUCUGGGGUCAAAGAUGGCCUCUACAUGUAAGCUAUCGCCCGAGGAUGGGCCCGCGUGCUAUUAGCUAGUUGGUAGGGUAACGGCCUACCAAGGCUACGAUAGCUAGCUGGUCUGAGAGGAUGAUCAGCCACACUGGAACUGAAACACGGUCCAGACUCCUACGGGAGGCAGCAGUGAGGAAUUUUGCGCAAUGGGGGAAACCCUG
rnacentral:rRNA from 1 species